rnacentral:rRNA from 1 species
UGCCAGCCGCCGCGGUAAUACGUAGGUGGCAAGCGUUAUUCGGAUUUAUUGGGCGUAAAGGGUCCGUAGGGGGCAUAGUAAGUUCGGUGUGAAAGCCCAAGGCUUAACCUUGGAAUUGCAUCGAAAACUACUAAGCUAGAGCAUAGGAGAGGAGAGUGGAAUUCCUGGUGUAGCGGUGGAAUGCGUAGAUAUCAGGAGGAACACCGAUGGCGAAGGCAGCUCUCUGGACUAUUGCUGACCCUGAGGGAUGAAAGCUAGGGGAGCGAACAGGAUUAGAUA